AUCUCAUCUUACUCGUAAAUAAGUAUAAAUUGUUUUGCCCAAGGUUGAUGCCUGCAUGGGUGAAGGGGGUGGCUGAAGAAGAUUCACCGAGACUGAGACAAGUAGCUGAAGGGAUAAAAGUGCGAGGCGUGAAUUAUUUGAGGACUAAGCACUAGUUGAAAGUUAAGGAUGUUAAAGGCUCAGGUUACAAAGGUGAUUUUAUUAUCAAUCAGUCACCAGGUUGGCAGAUGAUACUUUUGAUUCUCUGGCACGUUUUAACUUCAACUCAAGAUUAGGAUCUCUGGCCUCUGUUGAAAUAACCUCAUUCUUUCCGCUGCAGUAAUGCCACUCGGUUGUUAGUGGCUCUGUGGCUGGACUCUGGGUGUGGGGUGACCGAGUGAUCCUGAAUAUGAGCAAAGACCUUAUCUCCAUUACCCCUCAAGGUCGAGACUCCAGACAGUGCAGAACCUGUUUCUCUUUAAGCCUUUAAACCACAUCCUCCUCAAACAUUACCAGUCAUUGAAACGUGCACAGGCACAUCCACCUGAGACACACAACUGUUGUUUUUAUUCCCCUGCAGUGGUUUCAGCAUUGAACUGGCCUCAGCCCUGACUGUCGUGGUAGCCUCUAACAUUGGCCUGCCUGUCUCCACCACCCACUGCAAGGUGGGGUCUGUGGUUGCAGUAGGAUGGCUGCGUUCAAGGAAGGCAGUAGACUGGCGUCUGUUCAGAAACAUCUUCAUGGCGUGGUUUGUGACUGUGCCCAUUUCGGGCCUGAUCAGUGCCGCCAUCAUGGCCAUCUUCAUCUAUGGCAUCCUGUGAGCAUCUGGGUGCACCCCAAGAAGGGGAGGAGAAAGAAAAACCGCUCCAGGAGAAAG